CCUACGGGUGGCAGCAGUGAGGAAUAUUGGUCAAUGGUCGGGAGACUGAACCAGCCAAGCCGCGUGAGGGAUGAAGGUACAGAGUAUCGUAAACCUCUUUUGUCAGGGAACAAAGGCCGGGAUGUGUCCCCGGAUGAGUGUACCUGAAGAAAAAGCAUCGGCUAACUCCGUGCCAGCAGCCGCGGUAAUACGGAGGAUGCGAGCGUUAUCCGGAUUUAUUGGGUUUAAAGGGUGCGAAGGCGGGUGUUUAAGUCAGUUGUCAAAGCCCGGGGCUCAACCCCAGUCCCGCAGUUGAAACUGGCAGUCUCGAGUUGGAGAGAGGUAUGCGGAAUGCGUGGUGUAGCGGUGAAAUGCUUAGAUAUCGCGCAGAACUCCGAUUGCGAAGGCAGCAUGCUGGCCCCUCACUGACGCUGAUGCACGAAAGCGUGGGUAUCAAACAGGAUUAGAUACCCUAGUAGUC
rnacentral:rRNA from 1 species